AUUGAACGCUGGCGGCAGGCCUAACACAUGCAAGUCGAACGAGUGGCGGACGGGUGAGUAAUGUCUGGGAAACUGCUUGAUGGAGGGGGAUAACUACUGGAAACGGUAGCUAAUACCGCAUACCAUCGGAUGUGCCCAGAUGGGAUUAGCGAUUAGGUGGGGUAAAGGCUCACCAAGGCGACGAUCCCUAGCUGGUCUGAGAGGGUGACCCGCAACACGUGAACUGAGACACGGUCCAGACUCCUACGGGAGGCAGCAGUGGGGAAUAUUACACAAUGGGCGCAAGCCUGAUUCAGCCAUGCCGCGUGUGUGAAGAAGGCCUUCGGGUUGUAAAGUUCUUUCAGCGGAGAGGCGUUACCCGCAGAAAAAGCACCGGCUAACUCCGUGCCAGCAGCCGCGGUAAUAC
rnacentral:rRNA from 1 species